CGUAGGGCGCAAGCGUUGUCCGGAAUCAUUGGGCGUAAAGAGCUCUUAGGUGGUCUGUUACGUCUGCUGUGAAAACCUAGGGCUUAACCCUGGGCCUGCAGUGGAUACGGGCAGACUAGAGGUAGGUAGGGGAGAAUGGAAUUCCCGGUGUAGCGGUGAAAUGCGCAGAUAUCGGGAGGAACACCGGUGGCGAAAGCGCUCUACUGGGCCAUAACUGACACUCAGGGACGAAAGCUAGGGGAGCGAAUGGG
rnacentral:rRNA from 1 species